rnacentral:rRNA from 1 species
AGUGAACGCUGGCGGCAGGCCUAAUACAUGCAAGUCGAACGGCAGCACAGUAAGCUCUCGCCCUUACGGGUGGCGAGUGGCGGACGGGUGAGGAAUACAUCGGCAUCUACUUUUUCGUGGGGGAUAACGUAGGGAAACUUACGCUAAUACCGCAUACGACCUACGGGUGAAAGCAGGGGAGCUUCGGACCUUGCGCGUUUGAAUGAGCCGAUGUCGGAUUAGCUAGUUGGCGGGGUAAAGGCCCACCAAGGCGACGAUCCGUAGCUGGUCUGAGAGGAUGAUCAGCCACACUGGAACUGAGACACGGUCCAGACUCCUACGGGAGGCAGCAGUAGGGAAUAUUCGGCAAUGGGCGCAAGCCUGAUCCAGCCAUACCGCGUGAGUGAUGAAGGCCUUCGGGUUGUAAAGCCCUUUUAUUGGGAAAGAAAAGCAGCAGGAUAAUACCCCGCUGUUCUGACGGUACCCAAAGAAUAAGCACCGGCUAACUUCGUG